rnacentral:lncRNA from 1 species
AUUUAAUUUGGCAAAUAUAAAUUGAGCAAUUAAUAUAUGUGCCACCUUUGUGGGCAUGAGAUAUACAAGCAACAGACAUCAUAAAACAGAUGUCAGAGGCCAGUACAAAUUAAACAUUCAUGUCCCUUUCAACAAGAAUGCUUGUUAAUUCAACAAACAUUCACUGAGCACCUCCUGAGCAACCACACUGUUCCGAGAAAUAGAACACCAGUGUGGCAGGAACAGAGUGAGCAGUAGAAAGCUGAAUUUCAAAUCAUUCGAGAUGAUUCUGGAACUAAGUGGUUGUGUAGCUUCAGCCAGUACAGGGAAAAGAGCAAACCUAGCAGAAGGAGCUAUUUGCUUUCCUAAAUAAUUUGGUGUUCUGGUAGUAGUAAUCACAGACAAUAUUAAUAACAACCCUUCCUGAGGGUUUAUUGUGUCCGGACAAUGAGCUAAGCUCUUUACAAUCCUUAUAUCACUUAAUCAUCACAACAACACUUUGAGAGUAAUUAUUAUUUCUAUUUUACAUGUGAAGAGGCUAAAGAGUAGUUAUCCAAAACCCCACAGCUGAUGAAAGUACAUGGUAAAUUAUUUGCAAAUAUGGUCACAAUUCUCCCUAAAGCCAUGCUCUUUGCAAUGUAACCUUGCGGCUUCUCCAAUCAAGAGGUGAAAUCUAUUUCUUCACUCUCUGAAUCUUGUUGGCCUUGUGGCUUACCUUGGCCAAACGAAUGCAGCGUAAGUGACAGUGUCCCAGUUCAAGCCUCAGUCCCAAGAACCUCAAGGAAUCAGAACUUGCUUCUGUUCUGUCUCUUAGACUCCUGAGAUUGCCAUAUGAACCCAGCCCAGCCAGCCUACUAGAGAAUGAGAGACCACAUGGGGAAGAGCUUACCAGCUUUGUCAGGAUAAAUUUUCCUCUUCGAUAGUUCUUAUAGAUUACCCUAGAAGUCUGAGAGAGAAUAAUGAGACAGAAGUUUGGAUCAAGAAACCAUUUAUUCAUUUGUCCAGCAUUUGACCAUCCAAAUUGUACA